rnacentral:rRNA from 1 species
UACGUAGGGGGCAAGCGUUGUCCGGAUUUAUUGGGCGUAAAGAGGCGUGUAGGCGGCCAAGCAGGUCAGCUGUGAAAAACUCGGAGGCCUCAACCUCGAGAACGUCGGGUUGAAACCGCUUGGCUAGAGUCCGGAAGAGGAGAGUGGAAUUCCCGGUGUAGCGGUGGAAAUGACGCAGAUAUCGGGAAGAACACCCGUGGCGAAGGCGGCUCUCUGGGACGGUACUGGACCGCUGAGACGGCGAAAAGCGUGGGGAGCGAACGAGGA